rnacentral:rRNA from 1 species
UUGAACGCUGGCGGCCGGCCUAACACAUGCCAGUCGCACGGUAACAGGAAGCAGCUUGCUGCUUUGCUGACGAGUGGCGGACGGGUGAGUAAUGUCUGGGAAACUGCCCGAUGGAGGGGGAUAACUACUGGAAACGGUAGCUAAUACCGCAUAACGUCGCAAGACCAAAGAGGGGGACCUUAGGGCCUCUUGCCAUCGGAUGUGCCCAGAUGGGAUUAGCUAGUAGGUGGGGUAACGGCUCACCUAGGCGACGAUCCCUAGCUGGUCUGAGAGGAUGACCAGCCACACUGGAACUGAGACACGGUCCAGACUCCUACGGGAGGCAGCAGUGGGGAAUAUUGCACAAUGGGCGCAAGCCUGAUGCAGCCAUGCCGCGUGUAUGAAGAAGGCCUUCGGGUUGUAAAGUACUUUCAGCGGGGAGGAAGGGAGUAAAGUUAAUACCUUUGCUCAUUGACGUUACCCGCAGAAGAAGCACCGGCUAACUCCGUG